rnacentral:misc_RNA from 1 species
AAAGUCGUAACAAGGUUUCCGUAGGUGAACCUGCGGAAGGAUCAUUAGUGAAUAUGAGUCGUGGUUUACCCGGCCCAAUCAUUACAAACCCAUGUGCACAGUGCUUUUCACGCGAAACAGUAAUGAAUGUCAGUUGUCAUGCAGAUGUAACAACUUUCAGCAACGGAUCUCUUGGCUCUC